rnacentral:rRNA from 1 species
AUGCAUGUCUAAGUACAAGCCUAACUAAGGUGAAACCGCGAAUGGCUCAUUAAAUCACACCUAAUCUACUGGAAUGUUAGCAGUUACUUGGAUAACUGAGGUAAUUCUUGAGCUAAUACAUGCGAAAAAUCUCGACUCACGGAGAGAUGCUUUUAUUAGAUCAAAACCAAACAGCUUCGGCUGUACAACUGGUGACUCUGAAUAACUUUGGGCUGAUCGCAUUGCCUUGUGCAGGCGACAUUUCCUUCGAAGGUGUGCCCUAUCAACUGUCGACUGUGAUAUAGACGCUCACAGUGGUUUUGACGGGUAACGGGGAAUCAGGGUUCGAUUCCGGAGAGGGAGCCUUAAAAACGGCUACCACAUCCAAGGAAGGCAGCAGGCACGCAAAUUACCCAAUGAUCGAAGAUCGAGGUAGUGACGAAAAAUAACAAUACAAGACUCUUCCGAGG